UGUUUGUGAUGAUAAUCCAAAAGGCUUGUUUCUCAGAGACAUUCGCAGUGGCCGCCUAAGAACUUUCGCCUUCGCCAGGCUUGAGAGUUGAUGCUGUUUUAUUCCUUCCUUGGAUGUCUGAAACU